rnacentral:rRNA from 1 species
UGGGGAAUAUUGCACAAUGGGCGCAAGCCUGAUGCAGCCAUGCCGCGUGUGUGAAGAAGGCCUUCGGGUUGUAAAGCACUUUCAGCGGGGAGGAAGGCGUUAAGGUUAAUAACCUUGGCGAUUGACGUUACCCGCAUAAGAAGCACCGGCUAACUCCGUGCCAGCAGCCGCGGUAAUACGGAGGGUGCAAGCGUUAAUCGGAAUUACUGGGCGUAAAGCGCACGCAGGCGGUCUGUCAAGUCGGAUGUGAAAUCCCCGGGCUCAACCUGGGAACUGCAUUCAAGACUGGCAGGCUAGAGUCUUGUAGAGGGGGGUAGAAUUCCAGGUGUAGCGGUGAAAUGCGUAGAGAUCUGGAGGAAUACCGGUGGCGAAGGCGGCCCCCUGGACAAAGACUGACGCUCAGGUGCGAAAGCGUGGGGAGCAAACAGG